ensembl:lncRNA
UUUACAUCCAAAAGCAUACAAAAGCUCAAGCUGCCAGUGCGCGCGCGCGCGCGUCUGUGUGGGUGUGCGCGCGUGUGUAGCUGCUCCUGAGGAUCGCCGAAAUGUUACAGAUGAUCAACCCUAAUCUUGCUUGCUGACGUGCAAAACUGUCGUUUAAUGUCCUUUUCACUGUUUGCACUGGUAUUUCAGAGUUCCCCCCACCCACCCCCCUCUCUGGACAGAUUCCACUGCAUAAUGAGAUGUGAAUUUCUCAACUGGAAAGUCGGGCUCGCCAUUGCAGCUCACUGCAAGAGUGAGUGAGUGAGUAGGAUCUGCUCUUGAGUGUCAGUACGGGUAUCGACAACAUCCUCCUUCACCACGCAGCUCAUGCAUCACAUUUAAACAGCAGACCGCAGGUGCUCCGUGUGCGAAAUUAAGCCUUGGCACAAAACACGUCACACAAGAGGAGAACCAUUUGAUGGAAGAAAAGAAAAAGAAAAAGCAAGAGGAAAAGAAAAAGAAGGAAGCUGCUCAGAAAAAGGCUGCUGAACAGAAAACCAAAGAGGACGAUAUCCGCUUCGUCAUCCCUGG